rnacentral:lncRNA from 1 species
GACAAUGCAGCGCAGCUGCUGUCGAAAGGAACGAAGACAUGAGGAAUUCGAAACGGAUGAGAACGCUGCUCGGGAGUAUGGCCUUCUACAAGAACACCAACUGGGAUCCCUCUCAUUGUUGAGGUUUCUAUACUUCUAGAGGCCGAUAUACUACACUCUUCUUGCUAUAGAUCGUAGUAAUGUGAAACUGUGCGUGUCCACACACAUAUCUAUCUAUCUAUUUAUGUAUCAAUAUGUGUGUGGACACGCACAUCCUUUUCAUUGCCAAAUUGGCAGUUCAAAAUGCAUUUUUGACUACCAUUUUGCAGUAAAACUUAAACACCGCGCUGGCGGCGAUUGCUCGUGGAGAAAGCCCUCGUCCCACUGCUAGUAUUUCUUUCAUCGCGAUAGAAUGGAUAGAAUGGUGCCUGUCCAAGGUACACGCAAGGUUCUCCUAAUUGAGAGUAUCGAUGUGUUCAUAGAGGAUGAGUACAGUAGGCACGUCUUGUUCCUCACCAACAUAGACCAGAAGUUUGGUUACUUUGUGAGAGCUCUCUUUUUCUUCACGCCGAAUCCUGGGCUUCAAGUUCUCAAAGAGAUCUUGAGGAAAGGAUUGAGCAACGUGUUGGCUGCCUACCCUUGUUGUGCAGGGAGGUUAAGGAUCAAUUCAAGUGAUAAGCUUGAGAUCGAUUGCAACAACCAGGGUGCACGUUUGGGUGUGGGGAGCUGCACGCUGUCCAUCUCUGAGGUGAUUGCAGCAUUUUGAUGAGUUUUUUCUCGAGCCUUCCGACAAUCUGGAGUCGUUUGAGGACCUUCCUCUGAUGAACAUUCAGGUAAUGGGGGUGAACUCGUACUGUCUCAACGGGCACGAUGCUGACAGAGCUAAACUAUGAAUUUGCAGGUCAUCGAAAUUAUCAAUGGAUAUGCCAUCUCCAUGCUGCAACAUCACACCUUGGGAGAGGCAACAUCGGCAAUUUGCUUCCUCAUGGAUCAGAGAAAGAAUUAAAGCUUGUAAGCUUCAAACACACAUCCAAUUUCUUUUCUAGGGGUUAUAUCUUCAUUGUAGUUCUUCUUUUCCCGGGCAUCCAGAGAAGAAGGGAGAAGAUGGUCUCAAUCUUACGAAGGAGCCAGAGCCACCAUGAUCAGAGUGAUGAUUCCUUGGAUCCCAACACAGGCUUUACAAGAAAUCGCAGCACAAGCUACUUGCGAAGGAAAUCCUCUCCACCAUCAGAUGUUCCAAAGGGAUCGUUGGCUGUUUAUGUGGGCGAGGAAGGGAGGAGAACAGCUCACAUUUCCCGCUCAAAAAAUCCAUGGCUACGAACCUUGCACAGCUACUAUUGAUCUACUCCAGAUCUCUUUCAUCCCGCGCCUGAAUAAGAGAAUUUAGAGUCUAAAGAUCUCGUCGUUUCAUCACAACCUGAUAAUGAGAAACUCGUGUGAAACGCUCAAGGGAACAAAACAACUGGCUUACAACUGAUUUGGGGGACUAAAGGUAUUCAAAGCUCUUUACUUGCGUCUAGCUUUGCAGCUGAGUGGAGGAGAGAAGCAAAGAGUAGAACAUUCCUUCUCGCCAAACCAUGGUUUCGUAUUGCUUUGAAAACUUGAGAAUUGACUCAUGAAUGGCAGCUUGUUUCGCGGCUUCAUACACCUGUUCAAAGGAAGGGCUUACCUCUUCCUCAGUUGCUGAUAGCCGACCAUACCGAAUGUUGAUGGUAUCAUUGAAAACAAUCUGAGGUAACGAUGCGAAAUCUACAAGUGAUUAGUAUGAGAAGAGUUCACCUUUUUUUGCGGUACUACUCCAAUACCAAAUAAAAGACCGAGGCUAGCAUCUUCGAUAUUCUGAUCGCCUAUCUUCAACACGUUAAAAAUAUUGUGGUAACCUUGGUAAACGAAACAACGGUAGAAAGUGCAGAGGAGCAAACUAAUGCUGCCAAGCUGGGAGAAAUCGUUACCCAUGGGAACAAUCAAGAUAUUGAGGCCCCAGUCUGGUUUAAGAUGUGAAAACACCUUUGUACCUGUAAGGUAUAUAAAACGACAAGCUAGAAAGGCUCUUAAAACACAAAGUUAUGUAGGAAGUGGAUCGAUUGAAUUGAAUCAUACGUGGGGGAACAAUGUUCUUUGUGGGUAGGACAAAGACAAUGAAACCAGGAAUCUUUUUAUACAAAGAAGAAGUCCAACAAACCUGAGAUGGAUGCUGGAGAACCAUCGGUAUCCUGGCAUCUACCAAUCGCCACAAUCGUGUCCUGGCGGAUUGCCAUUGGCAACACCUAGCAUUCAGCCGACAAUCAUCGUAUAGAUAUGCCAGCGUUCUUCAUGAUCCUCCUACCGCCCUUUUCAUGAGAAAAAGCCACGUUGCAUAAGCGAGGACUGUGGAGCAUGGACUGGAGCCUGGGCCGUGGAGUGAAAAUCUCAAUUGCAUUGCAUUCACCACAAAACUAUAAACACAGAUAGAUAGACUAUACUCGGACCGGGUCGUUCAUAGUGGGGAUGGGCCGUGGGGCGGUCACUCGAACGGCGUGAAUAAGAAUAGAGUUCGAAAGGAGUGAGACUUCAACGCUCCUACAUCAACACUGGAAACUACUCUUAUUUUAUUAGCUCUAGUUGGCAGCUAAUGCUGCAAGAAUUUUUCGUGGUGGUCUCGAUGGUUCCCUUGCAUGUAAAACAGCAUCGUUGUCGAUGAUGAGCACAUCUCCUUUGCGCCAUUUGAAUGCAACUUUUUCCUCUUCCAUUAUCCUCUUGCAAGCUGCGAGAAACUUUUCAUUCAAAGGAGUGCCAUCACCAAAGCUUAUUCCAUGUUCUCCAGGUGGGGAGAUGAGCAUGAGCUCGUAAGUUGAACCAAUGCUGUUGAACCAAACCUUUCUUCCUUUUGACUUGCAAAAUUUUGUUCCAAUUUUUGGUCCCAUGAAAAGAGAUGCUGUGCCGUUUUGAUUCCACUCAAUGCGACUGUUCCCUUCUUUAGCCCUGAUUAAGAGUCUUAAAGAGGAAGAGUGGAGGAAGCGGAGGAGAAGUAAGUCUUCCUGAUUCGUAAUUUGCUUCGAUAACUUCACGGUCUCCGGCACCUUCAGGAGGCUCAAUGUCGCAAUAAAACAUCACCUUGCUUGGUGUCUUGAGUUGCUACAAGCAGGACAAACGAAGCAUGAGUAUAUAUAACUGCCAAGGUGGAAAGCAACACUCACGUAUGCCAUCUCGUUGUGGAAACCUAUAGGAAAAUGCACAAGCUUCUCGUUAGCCGUGACAACCCUUCCAAUGAUGGCUUUCUUAUGUGGCCCACGACCAUUGUAGACGAAAUUAUCGUACCCGAAGGCUUCAAGUACGUCGUUGAAAUCUGAGGCAGUGAGUACUUCGAAUCCACGAAGAAGGACAGCUCCACUCUGGUGCAGUGCAUGCUCAAUGUCUGCCUUUUGGCUCUGAAUGCCUUCGAGCAGCAUUAACAAUGCAGCGCAGCUGCUGUCGAAAGGAACGAAGACAUGAGGAAUUCGAAACGGAUGAGAACGCUGCUCGGGAGUAUGGCCUUCUACAAGAACACCAACUGGGAUCCCUCUCAUUGUUGAGGUUUCUAUACUUCUAGAGGCCGAUAUACUACACUCUUCUUGCUAUAGAUCGUAGUAAUGUGAAACUGUGCGUGUCCACACACAUAUCUAUCUAUCUAUUUAUGUAUCAAUAUGUGUG